rnacentral:rRNA from 1 species
AUUGAACGCUGGCGGCAUGCCUAACACAUGCAAGUCGAACGCGUGGCGGACGGGUGAGUAAUGUCUGGGAAACUGCCCGAUGGAGGGGGAUAACUACUGGAAACGGUAGCUACUACCGCAUACCACCGGUUGUGCCCUGAGGGGAUUAGCUCGUAGGUGGGGUAACGGCUCACCUAGGCGACGAUCCCUAGCUGGUCUGAGAGGGUGACCAGCCACACUGUAACUGAGACACGGUCCAGACUCCUACGGGAGGCAGCAGUGGGGAAUAUUGCACAAUGGGCGAAAGCCUGAUGCAGCCAUGCCGCGUGUAUGAAGAAGGCCUUCGGGUUGUAAAGUACUUUCAGCGAGGAGGCGUUACUCGCAGAAGAAGCACCGGCUAACUCCGUGCCAGCCGCCGCGGUAAUUC